UCGAACAACUUCUAUUAUUUGGUGGUUCAAAUUGAAUGGUGUCAAAGAUACACAUCAACAUUGUCAACUAAUAGAAUUUGCAAAUAAUGCCAGCUCAGUAGUCAUGUGACAUGUUCCCAACUGCAACAGAGAAGAUUCUAUUUUUGCUUUCCAUGUAGCUUCAAAAUAAUGUAUUGCCUGUCAUAGAUAUUUACUCGUUCUCACUGCCAUUCUACUGGCAAUUCCACAAGGCAAAUCUGUGCCUUCUUCUUUCAUAGCAGUGAACGCUGAACCUGGACCAUCAAAGAGAAGAUAAUUUCUCAUCAAAUUGCCCAGCACUGUAAUGAGAAGAGAAGCAUCCAUAAAGUAAUAAACAAACUGAAUCUGAAUGUACCUAAUCAAAUGAAGGUGGCGACCUAGCAUAGAUGUUUCACAACC
rnacentral:lncRNA from 1 species